GUAUAAAGCAUCAUAUAAUCCUCUGAGCUAAACUGAGGCUCUGGCAAGCCUUCAAGAAUGUUCUUUAGCUUUGUGAUGCCUUUUUGCAUAAAUUUCCAUCCUUGUUCAAGGUCGAUUGUCUUCCUCUCAUUCAGAUCAAAACCCUAACCUGAAACAUUAAAGAUUCAAUAGCUUACAUAGUCAGCUCACAUUUUAGCUCAAAUCACCAACAUUCCAUAACCUUUAGCUCAAUUAACAAAAACACACAAAAUACAAAAGUUUCCUCCAU